rnacentral:tRNA from 1 species
GGUUGAGUAGCUCAGUUGGAUAAGAGCGUUUCACUUUUAAUGAAAAUGUCACAGGUUCGAUCCCUGUCUCAACCA